UACGAAGGGGGCUAGCGUUGUUCGGAAUCACUGGGCGUAAAGCGCACGUAGGCGGAUCUUUAAGUCAGGGGUGAAAUCCCGAGGCUCAACCUCGGAACUGCCUUUGAUACUGGGGAUCUCGAGUCCGGGAGAGGUGAGUGGAACUGCGAGUGUAGAGGUGAAAUUCGUAGAUAUUCGGAAGAACACCAGUGGCGAAGGCGGCUCACUGGCCCGGUUCUGACGCUGAGGUGCGAAAGCGUGGGGAGCAAACAGG
rnacentral:rRNA from 1 species